ensembl:lncRNA
CCGUUCUGUGCGCGAGUGCCGUUGCGCGACGCGCGGCCUCGAAGCAACGCCACAGCGCGGUACCGCCCCGCGGCCGGGCGGUGUAAGCGGGGCCUCGAGCGGAGGGGACUUGCGCUGGUUGGUCGCGUUAGCGGUCAAACAGAAGUUAAAGCUAUUAAAGAGGGCAUUAUCCGAAUGCCUCACGGGCGGACAUGGAGCAGCAGCCACCUCGCUAGGAAGUCUCUGUCAGCGUUUGACCGCUCUCACUGUUGAGAAGUUUCUCGUAAUGCCAUGUCUGAACCUCCCCUAUAAAUAUGGAUAAAUAUGGGUAUGUUAUAAAUUGAAAAAUACAGCUUUAGCUGUUUGAUUUGGAGAAGGAACUUUUGUUUCCCGUAUGCAUUCCACUGCAGGACACCACUGCAAGUUCCUUUGCACAUAAUUCGGAACAAAUGAAAGCCAAACUGAUUUCUACAGAAGGGCCGUGAUGGGGGAGUUCUUUUUUUUUCUUCCAUACCCGCAGAUAACCAGUUCGGAUUUAUAUAAAGACAAAAAAUGGUUUGAACUCAGGCUCUCCUUCAGCGUGCCUCAGUGGGUAUCGGUUUCCUUGCAGCAGCAGGAGGAAAAAAGUCACCGUUGUGCGGAACUUCUUUUUUUUUUUUUUCGAUUAUUCAAAAGCCUCCUUAAUAAUACAGAACAGCUGAGGGGAUUCGUGUGAUUUUAUUCCCUGUCGAAGUCGCUGAGCAAUUACAUCCAGCCACAGGGCUGUGCUUGUGCUGCUGCCGGUUGUUGCUGGGUUCUCUCUGAUGCUUUGGAAGCUGUGCCCUCCCCAGCCUAACAUGCAGGCCUAUCGUUGGACAAAUCGAGGCUCCUUUGUUCUGAUGUUAAGCGCUAAGCCCUGACAACAGAGAACAAAAGGUCCAAGAACAGCUUGUGCUAAAGGCAAAACUUUCCUUUGCUUCGUCGUAAUUCUUCCUUGUUGGCUCUGAGAACCUUGGAGGAUCUUGGUAGCUGCCUCCUAGCGAGAGCAGAAAAUAUUGCAGUGCAGGGGCAAGACCUGAGGACAGGAAGAUGAUCCUUUGGCGGAUUCAGUCUCCACAUAUACAAAGACCAGAAAUGAGUAUACCAGCAGAAGGCACAUGGAGCACCAGCAGCAUUUCAUAAAUCUUCAUAACGGAAGGGGAGAUACUCCCGUCUUUUAAGACAGUUCUGAGAACAACUGCUGAGACAAGAAGCAAGAAUUUCCAGAGUCUGAAUGGAAACCUUGUGUGUCUAGCAAGUAUUUUGAGAUAAACUCCCGAAGAACCUUUAAAAUGUCAGAGAAUUAAAUGGGAAUUUGACUGAUGAUUCCAGUGAAGAUGUGGUUUUACUCCUGUGUUAGUAGGCUGAGCCAGUGAGCACUCUGACAGAUGUCAGGGAGAUCAAUGUCCUCCACAAAACGACCCUUGAAUAAUUUAUUCUGUCUUCACGAGGUCCUUCAGACAAUAUGACUGAGUGGAGAGAGGAGAAAAUGAAGGCUUGCAUGAUUUCCCACAUUUUUCUCCUAGUGGAGCUGGAGUAAAGGAUCUCCAUUUUGAGACCCUUAAUUAUUAAACCUCUUGAUACCCUUUCCCCCGUUCUCUCAUGACUUCUUCCUUUACCCCCCAAUUUUUUUUCCACUUAAAAAUCCAUUUGACAUCUGGGUGCUGAGCCAUGGCCCUAAGUUGUAGUUUUCCCAACAGGUUAUGAAGUCCUAUUUGCUGUUAUUGGUUAUUACGUUCUUUCACUUUAAACAGUAUAAAAGCAAGCACUGUAAUUUUUUCUGUCUUUGAAACGCAGAAGAGAAAAGGUUGUGUUCUUUUUAUUUGUGAGAUCUUAAUCAUAAAUUGGUUUCUUGGACAGAAAUAUUCACUUGGCAUUAAGCAACAAUAAAGGCCUUUGCUUUCACUUCAGGCUGCUUUAGAACAUUUCAAAGGCUACAGGAAAUAUUCUUUCUAUGAUUUACACUCUAUCUUAAUUGUGCAGCAGUAUUUCCAAAACAAUAUUGAAGGAUGUUCUUUUGUGGGUAGCUAAGAACAAAAAAAUCUUGUUUAACUUUUGAGCUAUGUAUAUUUUCUUGGCAAAGAAUAAUUUGGGAGAUGGAUAAAAGAUAGCUUUUUUGCUCCAAGGAAAGGCUUAGCUCUAGCAGACUGAAUUUUGUUACCAAU